rnacentral:misc_RNA from 1 species
AAGUCGUAACAAGUUCCGUAGGUGAAACUGCGGAAGGAUCAUAAACGUUAAAACAACCCUGUGAACCUUCAGCGUGUUCUGGCAGGAUAUCAAAACAGCAAUCCCGAGUAAAUCAGGCGCUAAAGAAUUACAGAUUUUGAUUUUGGGAAGUUCUGUGUACGUGGACGCUGCAGUUGAGCGCUAGAUAAAGCACCCUGGUACCCAAGAGCACAAGCGGCAGGGAUCAAUGUUCAGGGAUCGCUGUAGGUCUACAAGACCGGCGACCGCGAAAGCCCCUACGUCAUCCCUAUGUACUCCGGGACUCGGCGAAAGCUGACUCCGUCAUAAAUCUAACAACAUGGAUAUCUUGGUUCUCG